rnacentral:tRNA from 1 species
GGAGAGAUGGCCGAGUGGCUGAAGGCGCUCCCCUGCUAAGGGAGUAUGGGCUUUAACUCCCAUCGAGGGUUCGAACCCCUCUCUCUCCGCCA